CACUUUUCCCUCCAACUACCUCAACUUCCCCCCUCCUACAUCUCUAUAUAACAUUACACACACGGAUAGACAACACGGGGGAUAGACACACGGACAAAAACCAAAAAGGUGAACAUUUUGUGAAAGAAAAAAAAAGGUAGUGAAAACAUUGAAGAGAAAGGAAAACAGUAGAAAGAAACAAAAGGACAAAAACAAAAAAAAGAAAAGAGAACUUAUAUUAAUUCUGGAGAAAAUAACAUUUGGAGA
rnacentral:lncRNA from 1 species